UUGUAACUAAGAGAUUGAAAGGUGUGUAAAAUUUUAAAUAAGAUCAAUGGUUUAGCCAAAAGAUAUUGAGAUUCCAAACUACCUUAUGGUUUAAUUUAGGGUUUAGGAUUUGAUUAGGAUUUGAUUUAGGAUUUAAAAUUUUUCUAGGAUUUGAUUCAAGAUUUCGGAUUUUAUUAGGAUUUGGUUUAGGAUUUAAAAUUUCACUAGGAUUUGCACAAUCACAAACCAAAUAUAUUAUAUCUUUAAUAUAUUAUAUCUUAAAUGGUUGGAAUAAGUUAUAUCUUAAAUAUAUUAUAUCUUAAAUGGUUGGAAUAA
rnacentral:lncRNA from 1 species